AGAAUCAACGCUGGCGGCGUGCCUAACACAUGCAAGUCGAACGAGAAAGGGUAGCAAUACCUGAGUAAAGUGGCGCACGGGUGAGUAACACGUGACUAACCUACCCUGGAGUGGGGGAUAACUGAGGGAAAACCUUAGCUAAUACCCGCAUAAUACCUACGGGUCAAAGGAGCAAUUCGCUUUGGGAGGGGGUCGCGGCCGAUUAGUUAGUUGGCGGGGUAAUGGCCCACCAAGACUGUGAUCGGUAUCC
rnacentral:rRNA from 1 species